UUGUGUUUUGAUUUUUUCAUCAGAUCUGGGUGCUAGUUAUCGACUUUGAUUUUCUGGCUCAUUAGCCCUUUCCGUUUCCCCUGUAGGACUGUCUGCAUUCUCCCUUCACCGUCUGUUUUAUUUACUAUUCUUGUGCUUGGAGCCAAAGGUCUUACAGAUUUGUUUUUUAUUAACCUGGAUAACCUCAGAAACAAGUUACCAUAAGUCACUGAUUUUCCUCAUUCCUCCUUCUGAGUAAUUAUUCAGUACAGUCUGAUUAAAUAGUAGUAAGAUGAAGCAGAUCUUGCCUUGAGAAUGUAUAUAUAUGUCCCUUCAGCCAUCGGUCAGGGAGAACCUUGGCUGCUCUUGAAGUCUGAGGAGCUGACUCAGUUUUUCCUCUUUCCUUCUGCAUUCUCCUUGAUGGGAUAAAGGGUCAAGAGGGAGGAAUGGGUCAGAGAUACUCCAUGAAGAAAUGUGGUUUGUCAUGUGGUUGAGUCCUUCCUGGAAAGUAGGAGUGGGCUCUUCACUGCUUGCAGGUGGUAGAUAAGUGUUUGUUAUAGAUUAAAAGGUCUGGGUUAACACAGAGAAGUGUGGUCUUCACUCCUCUUCAAGGAAACUUCUCUAACAGAUGGAGAACAUUACAGAGUCAAUCAAUAUGUGGAGCCCAGUUCCAGUGGAGACAUGUAUAGAACACUCCUAUACCAAGGCUCAGAAAAUGGGUGUGUGGGGUGUGUGUGUGUGUGUGUGUGUGCAGAAGGAGUCUAAGAGCCAGAAGAUCAAGAAGUUUGCUGUAAGGUUAUAUCUUCUAGUAACAUCAUAAGCUAUAUCCAUAAAGGACCACUCAACAUGUGAGCUAAGCAAGGAUGACGCCAGUGAGCAUGCCAAACUGGGCGGGGAAGAACAUACGGAUUCGUGGUCCAGGGCCAAAACAUACCACAAGUAACGUUAUACAGACUUGGCUGGUUAUAUUUGGAAUAUAUGCAAAUACACAGAUCUGUAUAGUAACACUUAUGGAAAAAAGAGACUAUGAUUUUGAAGGAGAGUGGAAAGGGGGUAUAUGGGAAGGUGUGGAAGGAGGAAAGGGAAAAGUGUUGUAAUUAAAUUAUAUUCUUAAAAGAAUUGAAGAAAAAAGGUGUGUUGAACCCUAAAAUCCUGAGCUCUGCAGUCUGUGUUGUUGGACGUGCAGAUAUUCUGCUCUAACAACCCACACUGUGCCUGAGAGUGGUUUAUCUUGUUCUUGCUGGAUGAGCUGCCCCUCCUAGACACGUUUGUAAUGAGAGGUACUAGCCCAUGCUCUUGCUUUGUAGUAGGGCUUUGAUAGAUGUUUGUUAAGUUUAAUUGCUUGAGGGCUUCGGAGGUAGUGAGGUAGGGUUGUAUUGAGCCUCCUUUGGUGUAGUGGAGAGCUACUGUUUGCUUCCAGAAUACAAAGUUUUUAUUUCUUCUAGAAAAUUUCAUGGAAGUAUAAAAGAGAUUUAUGAAACACACCUAUGGGAGGAAGAUUGUGACUUACAAAAGGCAACCUGAGUUUUCUCUUUUUAUCACAUUCAGUAGCUGAAACUUGGGCUUUAAACUCCGUGGGGUUACUUUAACAUUGUUUAAUGGAAGCCAUCAAGUGGAGACAUGGUUAACAGAGCAGUAUGCCACAUAACUAAAACUGUUCCAUUGCUCUGGGAAGGAGUGUGGUGUAACUCAGGAAGGACAUGGGGUUCAGUCUCAGUUUCCCCUCCCCCCAGGCCCCUACC
rnacentral:lncRNA from 1 species